rnacentral:rRNA from 1 species
AACGUAGGAGGCAAGCGUUAUCCGGAUUUACUGGGCGUAAAGGGCGUGCAGGUGGUGGUCUAAGUGGUGCGUGAAAGCGCUCGGCUCAACCGGGCGAGGGCGUGCCAAACUGGGUCACUAGAAACAGGCAGAGGAAAGUGGAAUUCGGGGUGUAGUGGUGAUAUGCGUAGAUAUCGGGAGGAACACCAGUGGCGAAGGCGGCUUUCUGGGCAUUUCCUGACGCUGAGACGCGAAAGCGUGGGGAGCGAACCGG